UGCCAUGCAACUUAACCAUAAAUGAGAACUAUUUAAGCAUAUUAUCAUACCCAUGUAGCAAUCUUUUGACAAGUAUAAAUAAGGUUCAAAAACCCAAUUCAGAUUUGGUUGUGCCUAUAAAGUUUUGAUACUUUCAGCAUGUUCAACUAGAGCUUUAAGGUUUUAGCUAGGGGUGGCAAUUUACUCCCGACCCGACCCAACUCUAAUGGGGCAGGUUUUACCCGACCUACAACAGAUCCAGGACGAGUACGGAUAAUGGUAAAACCCACCUUGAACCCGCCCCAGAUUUAUAUAACUCUUCACAAAUCCCCUCUUCGAGGCAAAAAAAAAAAAUAGAUUUGCAUGCAAAAGAGCAAAGAUUUUUGUAGCUUUACCCUACCUAAUUCAUCCAACCUGCCUAUCUAACUCUACUCGCCCCGAUACUCUAUUUACCCCACCCCAAGACUCUACCUACCCUGCGCCAUCCCAAGAUAAAUAUGGAGCAAAUAUGGAUAAUGGCCUACCCAAUGUUAGGCGAACCAUCCUGAACUGUCCAGUUCGGAGUGUACUGAAUCGAACAAACGAAAAACCGAAACAAGUCGCUCUAUCGAUUCAGAAAUGUUGGAUUAAGUAUUUGGAAAAAAGUCCACCAUUCAAAUAAGACCCAUUGAUUAAAACAAAUUGUUUAAAAUGCCUCUACUCCCUCGAUCUCGAUCAUUCGAGAAACCCACAGAUCGCCUCUCACCCCUGCUCCCCCCGGGCUCCAUUGUGAUUCAAUAGAAGCCCCCCAACCUCGGCUCUCAGAGUGCCUCCCCAUCCCAACUCUCGCGCUCAAA
rnacentral:lncRNA from 1 species